GGGUCUAUAGCUCAGGGGCAGAGCGCUCGCCUGAUAAGCGAGAGGUCGGUGGUUCGAUUCCACCUAGACCCA
rnacentral:tRNA from 1 species